rnacentral:lncRNA from 11 species
CGGAGAGAGAUCUGUCCCUCCCUAAUAGCAGCCAGAAUCUGCAAAGAGGAGGACUGACUGAUACAUCUCUCUCUAAUAAGUCUUGUAUAAUCAUGGACAUGAAGCAGAAAGAAAGAGCAUUGAGUUCUUGCCCAAAGAAGGAUAUACCGCUGCUGACAUCCACAGAAGUCUUAGAAAUGUAUAUGUUGGAGUGCUGCAGCAGAGAAGGCCGUCUCUCAUGACCUUGUACUUCAUAUUGCACCUGCCAGUGGGGUAGAGAGAAGACCCCCUCGUGCACACCUUGGGCAGGUAUCUAUAGGGAGAGAUGCUCCUUUUGAUAUUAUAGUCCCAAGCUGUUUGUCUUUAAAUAUCAUCACUGGCAUCUAAAAACGCUCUAAAAGAGUAACAGCCAAAUAUGUCAUAACAAAGCAAGUAGUCUCUUUCUCACUUGUUACAAUUAACUUUGUUGCACCCUCCUUUUCAAGAACUGUAACAUGUUACCACUACUUAUGUCACUUGUAACUUCAUGUUUUUAGACUUUGUGCAACAUUGCAAACGGAAGCAUGAUUGUGUUGGUCCUAUGUCCAGGUGGGCACUAUUAUGAUAUAUUUACCUUGGAACCUAGUAUCCAAAUUAAAGAUGAUGU